rnacentral:rRNA from 1 species
AUUGAACGCUGGCGGCAGGCCUAACACAUGCAAGUCGAACGAGUGGCGGACGGGUGAGUAAUGUCUGGGAAAAUGCCUGAUGGAGGGGGAUAACUAAUGGAAACGGUAGCUAAUACCGAAUACAAUCAGAUGUGCACAGAUGUGAUUAGCUGGUUGGUGGGGUAACGGCUCACCAAGGCGACGAUCCCUAGCUGGUCUGAGAGGAUGACCAGCCCAACUGGAACUUAGACACGGUCCAGACUCCUACGGGCGGCAGCAGGGGGGAAUAUUGCCCAAUGGGCGCACUCCUGAUGCAGCCAUGCCGCGUGUAUGAAGAGGGCCUUCGGGUUGUAAAGUACUUUCAGCAGGGAGGCGUUACCCGCAGAAGAAGCACCGGCUAACUCCGUGCCAGCCGCCGCGGUAAUUC